GAGAAAGUAUUUGUAUUUCCUGCCAAAAUUGUUACGUUCGCGGUGGUCGACGUCGACCGCUAGGUCACUUUUUCCCGCAAUCGUCUCUCUUCCCGCUCGGCGGCCAAUACUGUGCCACGGGCUAUGGGCGCGGAGGAGUCGCCAGGCCAUCCGCGGACGUCUGGUUGCUCCGACCACUGUGGGCAGCAUAACGACUAUAAGAUGGGCGGUGACUCGAACCCCACCCACUCCUCCAAGAAGCCGAAGGAGCCGGAGGUCGGCCGGGCCUUUGAGCCGUCGUCUUGCAGUGGGUCGAGUGAGAUCCAAUCGCGGAAGCUGGAUAGGGAUGUUAAUUAUGCGGAGGAUGCCUCGGAAGAGGAGGAUGAAUAUUGCGAAGAAAAACGAUUGAAUACUGGAAACAAACGAAAGAGAACAAACAUGAACAAGGAGAAAAAACUUAGCAGGAAAACCGAGAUGGAGGAUACCAUCAGUAAAUCCAACUCCAGGAGGGUUGUACAAAAUGAGAAUUAUCUAGAGGGCAUCAAAAAGAAGAAAUUAAUUGGCAGCGAUGCACUUAUGUGCCAUCAAUGCCAAAGGAAUGAUAAAGGCAGAGUUGUAUGGUGCACUUCAUGCGACAAGAAGCGAUUCUGCAUACCUUGCAUUAGCCACUGGUAUCCCCAUUUGACAGAGGCCGAUAUUGCAGCUGAGUGCCCAUUUUGUCGUGGAAAUUGCAACUGCAAGGCAUGCUUGCGAAUGAUAAGUCUAACCAAGCCUACAAGAAAUGUGAUCAAUGAGGCUGAUAAAAUCAAAUUUCAACUCUACACUCUGCAUUUAUUGCUUCCAUGGUUGAAAGAGAUGCUUCAAGAGCAAGAUGUAGAGAAAGAAAUUGAAGCUAAGAUUCAAGAUUCUUUGCCAAAUGAAAUAAAGGUACAAAGGAUCAAGUGUGCAAAGGAUGAACGCAUGUUCUGUAACAUCUGCAGGACAUCAAUAGUUGAUUUCCAUAGAAGCUGUUCAAACUGUUUGCUGGACCUAUGCCUUAGCUGCUGUCGAGAACUUCGUGAUGGUUAUCUUCCUGGUGGUCUUGGAAAAAUCAUUUUGCCCUAUCAGGAUAGAGGCAGUGCUUACAUCCAUGGUGGCAAAAUGAGUGGAAGUUUUUCAAGCAGAACAAAAUCCUCUAAAGACAAUCAAUCUGUAAAAGAAUGGACGCCAAACAAGGAUGGCAGCAUUCCUUGCCCACCUAAAGAAUUUGGAGGUUGUGGUUCUGUCCAUUUGGAGCUGAAGUGUUUGUUUCAGGAAAAUUUCCUUAGUGUUCUUGAGAAAAAAGUUAAGGCGAUUCUUUGCAGUCACUUUGCAGAAUCCCAUGAUAAUUCCUGUCAGUGCUUAUGUUUCAAAGCACCUGGACAGAUUAGUUCUAGCAGUGGGUUGCUGCGAAAAGCAGCAAGUCGUGAGAGCUCAGAUGAUAACUACUUGUACUGCCCUCCAGCAAGUGUUACUCAACAAGGUGAACUAGAGCAUUUCCAGAAGCACUGGCUUAAAGGUCAGCCUGUUAUUGUCAGAGAUGUGCUUGGGAUCACAUCUGGAUUGAGCUGGGAGCCUAUGGUCAUGUGGCGAGCAUUACGAGAAAAAAAACUAUCUAAGAGGGCUUCUGAGAGACUUACUGUGAAGGCAAUUGACUGCUUGGAUUUAUGUGAGGUGGAGAUUAAUAUCCACCAAUUCUUCACCGGUUAUACUAAAGGUCGCAAACACAAAAAUGGGUGGCCUGAGAUGCUCAAACUUAAGGAUUGGCCUCCAGCUAAUUCCUUUGAGGAACGCUUGCCACGUCAUGGUGCUGAAUUUAUUUCAGCCUUGCCGUUUCCUGAAUAUACAGAUCCUACAGUUGGCUAUCUUAAUCUUGCUACAAAGCUGCCAAUGGAUGUGAUCAAGCCUGAUUUAGGUCCCAAAACGUACAUAGCCUAUGGAGUCAAUGAAGAAUUGGGAAGAGGUGAUUCUGUCACCAAGCUUCACUGUGACAUGUCUGAUGCUGUUAAUGUUCUGACACAUACAGCAGAAGUAGCUCUUCUUGAUAGUCAGCUUUCUGCCAUAAAAAAGUUGAAAAAGCAACAUUUGGAGCAAGAUAUAAAAGAAGAAUUGUAUACUGUUGAUAUGCCACUAUUUGCAUCUGUUGAUAAGUCAGAGCAUGAACUUCUAGAUGGAGGUGCUCUAUGGGACAUUUUCCGAAGAGAAGAUUCUGAGAAGCUGCAAGAAUAUCUUAGAAGGCAUUCUAGGGAGUUUAGGCAUACCUACUGUUCCUCUGUAGAACAGGUGAUUCAUCCGAUCCAUGACCAGUCUUUCUACUUGACAAUCGAGCAUAAAAGAAAGCUCAAGGCCGAAUAUGGAAUUGAACCUUGGACAUUCGUGCAAAAACUUGGUGAAGCUGUCUUUAUCCCUGCUGGAUGCCCCCACCAAGUCAGAAAUCUGAAGUCAUGCAUAAAGGUGGCAUUAGAUUUUGUCUCUCCUGAAAACAUCCGCGAGUGCAUUCACCUCACUGAAGAAUAUCGUACUCUUCCUGAAGAGCACAGAGCUAAGGAAGAUAAACUCGAGAUAAAGAAAAUGGCUUUGCAUACUCUGAAUCAGGUGGUGAAGGAAUUCAAAGAAUUUAAUCCAUAAAGAAGGUUCUAAAAUGACAUUGUCGCUUGCACAUGGAUGCACCUACACACUUGAUAACCAUCACCAACAAACACAAUAUUGCCCAAGGAAUGACAUGCAUGGGUGGAGCAGGGAGCCAACACAGAGCAGAGCACCAAAGUUUAGCAAGGCAUACUGAGUAUCAAAGUGACGAACUCCGCCCUAUCUAUGGAGCACCAAAGUGACUAGGAGCGUAGCUCAGUUGGGGACCAGAUGCUAAUUCAUCCCUAUCUACGGAGGGUUCUUCCUAAUGCUCUAGCACCGAGGAUACCAGCUUUAACUUAGCUUCAUCAAUACUGAAGGAUGGGGGUAACAUGCAUACCGUAAUGAUAGGGACAACACGAUGCAAGGGGUGGAGGAACUCCGCCCUGACAUGUAGAUGAAGAUCUCUAGCUAGAACAUAAGGUGCUUUUGUAAGCUCCUUAAGCAAAAGGGGGGCAACACCUCUUUUAGAAGCAUAGAAUUGAAAUAAUAGGCCUCCUAGAGACAAAAUUGACCGAAGGGACACUAAAUAUAGUUCUCCAACAAUGAUUUUCGUGUGUGAUAGUGGCUCAUAACUUUUUUGGUAUUGUGGGACAUGCAAUAAGUUGAGGUGGAGGUUCUAGACAUUGACACCCGAUUCAUUUAUUGCGGAGUCUUUCCAAACUCAUCCGACGCAUGGUAGUUGUCAUGUUUGUCUAUGGCCUUCAUGGAAUGCUUUGAAGCAUUUGGGAGAGGCUAUCAUGGAGCUUGGUUGAUUGUUGGGGAUUUCAAUGUGAUGAUGGUGGACAAGAAUGGUGGGAUGUCGAGGACACAUUAUUUAUGACCUUGAAGAAUUUAUCUAUAGAAGUAAUCACACGGAUUUGCUGUCAGUUGGAUGUCGGUUCAUAUGGAUAAAUGGUAGUUUUCUUGCAAAUUGGAUCAAGCAAUGAUGAAUCAUCAUUGGUUGGUCUAAGACUUCAGUGGUUAUGUAGAAUUCCUACCAUCGGGGUGGUUCUCGGACCACUCAUGUUGUGUUGUCUCGGUGAUGCUAGAUGAGCAAAGACCUAUGAGAACUUUCAAGUUCUAUAAUAUGUGGACCUUGUACAAGGACUUCAGACUCAAGUGUAGGCAGAAAUAGUAAAGGGCGCAACACAAUUCAGCCUCAAGCAGAAGUUGAACAAGUUGAAGAGCAAGCUGCAAACUCUGAAUCGACAACAUUUUCAACAUACUUCACGGCAAUCUAGACGUGCCAAGGAGGAUAGCUCGACGCGAGGUGUUGGGAGGUGGGCUCCCAAUUGCAGAUUCUGGCCCAACUAAAAGCUCUAUCUUCCUAGCAGAGGUGGAGCAAUUAUUCUAACAAUAGUGCGCCAAGUGCGCCUACCUCAAUAGUAGUGAUCGUAGUACCAAAUUCUUCCAAGACCUUGUCAAACGCAACAACCAAUGGAAUACUAUUGUGGCAGCUGCAAAGGAAUUGGGCGAAUACACCACAAGCAUGGAGGAGGUAGUUGUUGAGUUUGUUAGUUAUUAUGAGAAGCUAUUAGGUACAAAUGUCGUGUGAUAGCCUAGCGGUUGAUGUUGGUAGCAAGGGGUUGGUUCUCAGUGUCGAGCAACACCAAAACUUGAUUCAAUCAGUUGCAUCCGAAGAAGUCAACAAGUCAUUGUUUGAUAUUGGGGAUGACAAGGCCCUUGGACCAGAUGAAUAUUGAGCAAAAUUCUAUAAGGCAACAUAGGAAAGUUGGAUCGGAUUUGCAGUGAGUUGUCAUAGAGUUCUUCACUUUGGGCUAAACUUAAGCAGUGGAACCUAUCUCGUGUUGCAGUUGUCUACAAAAUCAUCUCUAAGAUCUCGACUACACAAAUGGUGGGAGUUAUUGGCAGUAUACCAAGCCUUGCUCAUUUAGCCUUCAUCCAAGGGAGAUCCAUUGCAAAUGACAUCCACCUCCAUAGGAGCUGCUCUAGAAAUAUGCAAGGAAGCGAGUCUCUCCGAUGUGUGUCCUUAAGGUAGACCUUCAGACAACUUAUGACUUGGGCGCACAAGGCGCAACAGCCAACGCCUUUGGGAAAGCGAGGCGGGCGUUGUCAUUCAGUCACGCGCCUGGACACGCCUAGGCAUGCUUUUGCACCUCACCUGAGGCACGAAUGAGGGCACAAAGUAAAAAGAUAAAAGGGAAGAAGAAAACGAACGCAAAAUUCACCUAAACCCGAGCCUCCCUGGAGCAUUUUCGGCUGUCAUUGUCGUUGCUUGACUCGUAUCGCCGUACCCAUCAACUGGAAAUACCGUGUUAACCGAUAUCCAAAGAUGGACUGUGACGGGGCAAUUUAACUCCACAUAAAUAGACUGAAGAGGAACCUCCUGUUCCCCUUUUUGUUUUUUGGUUAAAAAUAAUGCAUUUUUUUUCAAUGCCCACUUGGUGAUCUAUUACUGAAUUUUGGACUUCUUAAUAUCGGAAAGGUUACUUUUGCUUCAGCAAAACAAUUUGUACAGGUGCAGUAUGUUGCUCUUCUUAAUAUCAGAAAGGUUACUUUUGCUUCUGCAGUAGAAGUGUUCAA